rnacentral:rRNA from 1 species
UCAAAGGAAUUGACGGGGAGCACCACAACGGGUGGAGCUUGCGGUUUAAUUGGAUCAACGCCGGAAAUCUUACCGGGACCGACAGCAAUAUGAAGGGCCAGGCUGAAGACUUUGCCGGAUUAGCUGAGAGGUGGUGCAUGGCCGUCGUCAGUUCGUACUGUGAAGCAUCCUGUUAAGUCAGGCAACGAGCGAGACCCACGCCCACAGUUGCCAGCGUACUCUCCGGAGUGACGGGUACACUGUGGGGACCGCCGCUGCUAAAGCGGAGGAAGGAAUGGGCAACGGUAGGUCAGUAUGCCCCGAAUAUCCCGGGCUACACGCGAGCUACAAUGGUUGGUACAAUGGGUAUCUACCCCGAAAGGGGACGGGAAUCUCCUAAAACCAAUCUUAGUUCGGAUUGAGGGCUGCAACUCGCCCUCAUGAAGCUGGAAUCCGUAGUAAUCGCGUUUCAACAGAACGCGGUGAAUACGUCCCUGCUCCUU